GACGUAGGGCGCGAGCGUUGUCCGGAUUUAUUGGGCGUAAAGAGCUCGUAGGCGGCUUGUUGCGUCGACCGUGAAAACCCGGGGCUCAACUUCGGGCUUGCGGUCGAUACGGGCGGGCUAGAGUUCGGUAGGGGGAGACUGGAAAUUCCUGGUGUAGCGGUGAAAAUGCGCAGAUAUCAGGAGGAACACCACAGCGAAGGCAGAUCUCUGGGACGUUACUGACGCUGAGACGCGAAAGCGUGGGGAGCAAACAGG
rnacentral:rRNA from 1 species